rnacentral:tRNA from 1 species
UCCUACAUGGUUUAGGGUGGUUAGGAUUCCUGGCUUUCACCCAGGCGGCCCGGGUUCGAUUCCCGGCUGUAGGAA